UGCCAAAGUUCAGCAUCCCUUGGGGCGCCCAGUUUUGAUGAGCUGAUGGAACAGCCCGAGCCUUUUCCCACUUCCAUAGGUGUGUGGGAUCACACUGCAUCUUGCAGCACAUCUCAGCAGAGUGUGGUGACACAGGUCAGCUCACCCCCCAACGCACCAGGACACCGAAACAGAAGCAGGAAGGAACAAAUAGCCAGAACACAGAGAGCGUUCGUGGAGCAGCGGUCAGGCUCUCCGAUGUCACCUGCAGGAAUUCUGCUGCGGAUGAAUAAAUGGAAUGACAUGAUCUCAGAUAGGUAUGCCUCUGCCCGUCCUCCUCCCCUCAGCCACACGCAGUCAAAAGUCUGUGAAAUCCCACUGGGACCCCCUGAGAAAUGUUCAUGCUUCCUUCCGAAAGAGUAUAAAAUCUCUUCUGAAACAAAAAUAAGAAUAAUUUGUUGGUGAAAUAAGUUACGUUGGGAAAAAUGCCAUUGGUGAACUCCAGGAAAUCCACAAUGACCGUUCCUGCGUCCAGGGUUUGUCUCUCUCGGGUGUGUUCCCUUACAGAAUGCGUACGUUUGUGGAUGCUCACUGUUAUCUUUGUUGUUUUAUUUGCACAGGGGAACAGUGUCAAUAUUCCAUGGUUCGGGUUGGCCAGAGGACAGGGGAGCAGUGAGGGCAGGCUUAGUUCUUUCAGGAGUAGUGUCCAAACAGUGAUUAUUAGAGCUGAAUAAUUCAGAAAGUUUUCAGAUAAUCUUAGCUUAGGCCUUGAUCUUCCCAAGACAAUGCUCAUAGUUCAUUUUUCGCUUGCGCAGUCACACUGAAUUCAACGGGCACUGGGCAGCACAUUUAAAGCUAAGCCUAUCGUAAAUCACCUUUCUGCAUCAGGGCCUCAAUCACAGUCUGUUCAUAGAUAUUCCAUGGGGAACAAAAAAAUUAAAAAAAGUAUGUCAGUUCACUUUGGCCCCACUGAAACCCCUUUUGUGUUCAUUUUCUGUGACAGUUUGGGAAGUGGACCUUCAGUAACUACAAUAUAAGAACAGAAGCAUGAGGAAACAGUGUUUAAAGCCACAUAUGCGAGUUCUUGUGAAAACCCAGUUGUAUGUUUGCAUAAACAAGGCUUCAGCCUAGGUAUUUGCACAGUGUUCCUGUCAGGAAACAGAAACGAUGCAUAUGAUUUAUCAGAGCACCAACAGCUACGUUCGGUGGAUAUUUGCUUUCAAUCCACAGAGUUAAAGAUUAGAAAAGGUAUCUGUUGAAUUCAUUUGAAUAACAAAUAGACCGGGGAAUCACAAUCUGUUCU
rnacentral:lncRNA from 1 species